GAAUGAUUAAUGGGCAAGAGGCGAUGGAGACAUACCUGUGGGUACCUGCAUGUCCCCUUUCACCUCGGUGUCCUACAAAACCCCCAGGAUUUGAUGUUCUCUGCACCUUGCCCCGGCUUAUCUAGCCAUGAGCCGGCCGAGCGCCUGCGGAGCUGGCGGUGGCUGCCGAGGUUGCGGAAACCAGGCCAGGAGGCCACACCGAGGAGACGAUGCCGGAACCCGGCCCCCGAAAUAAGCGAGUUUCUGUGUUAGGUAGAGUUCGGGGAUACUGUGCCAACUAAUGUCCCUGCAGUAUCAUCUAAUCCUCCUAGCAAUCUGUUGCGAUAGAUACUGGAUUCCCCCUAAUAGGGAGAAUACUGAAGCCCCGGUAACUUGGCCUUAGGGACACAGUAAACGGACCCGUCUUUCAGUUCUCCACAGAGAACUAGAAAUGAUCUACUGGGUGUAUCAAAUACAAAUUAAUGAAAUGGAAAUGGAGAUGAGUAGCAUGAAAGAAAAAUUUCUUACAAGCAGAACAAAGUUAGUAGAAAUCGAAAGUUCUAACAGUAAGUUAUUUUCCAAAGAAAAGUCAUUUCAAACAAUAAAGGAAAAACAAACAAACAAUAAAGGAAGUCAAAGAAGCUAAGGAAAAGGGGAAGAAGUCAUCACGUGAUUAUCACCUUGCAGCAAAAUAAUAAUGUGAUCUCCAAGUGAAGGCUACUUAUGGAGAGUGAGAUGGAAUAUGGUUUAAUGUACAUAAGAGUUGCUUGAUAUCCUUUACCAUACACAUCUCGGUAUCAGAUAUGGUGGGCAGACACACAUACUUGAGGAGCUCCAAGGAAAAUAAGAGAAUGUCACCAAAGAAGUCGUGUCUCACAUCUGACCCUGCGUAAACCGUGCCACCAGCAAAAUCCAGUACCCAAGAGAAGCCUUGCACCCAAGCCCAUGACUUUUAAGGAUGUGGACUCCAGAUGCCAAGUUGAAAUACUUGAUAUGCAGUCAAAUGCUGAUGGCAAAUUCAAGUUUAUUUUAUAUUAUCAGGACCACUCAACCAAGCUUAUGUUUUAUGGCCUUUGAAGACCAAACAGGCUAAUGAGGUAGUCAGUAUUUUGUUGACUAUUUUCACAAUUCUUGACAGUGUGUUAGGUUCUGACAAUGACCUAGAGUUCACAAACCAACUUGUUAAUGGGCUCAAUGAAGUAUGGCUGGACCUUAAGAUUGUCUCUAACUACCACCCUUCCCAAGACCAGAGCUCCCUGGAACAAGCAAGACAUGAUGUGAAGAACAUGAUAAAUACGUUAAUGCAAAGUAACCACUCAUGUCACUGGGCUGAAGGCCCACGAUUCCACGAUUCAUGCAGAUGGUGAGGAAUCAGGCCUUUGAUUUCCCUCCUUGCAAAGUCCACAUGAGGCAGUGUUUGGUUGUAAAGCCAAAUUUGGGCUACAUUCUUCAAACUUGCCCUGAAACUGUGGCCAUUCUACAAACAGGAAGAACUAGAAGUUGCAGAAGAACAGCUAGAAAACAGCUUGGAAUCAGGCAGGAAGAAAGGGCUGAGACUGGAGCAGACAGAUCUGAUACUGAAGAAAACACUGAUGCUACCUCUCCUGAAGCUACAGAACCUAGCACCUCACAGGAAGCCCUGGAUCUCCUCUGCUGGUGAACAGAGACACCUGCUUGGGUGGACACUUUUUGGGUAUCUUUCUGAGCAUUAUACUGUCAUCUGAGAACUGUUGGUAAAGGCCCCAGGGCAGUGGAAGGAAGGCCGCACUUUCCUGGCAAGUUAUACAUGGUAAUCCCUGCUCAGAAGAGAAAAACAAAUCUAAUCUUUAUAUUUGUUCCUAGAGCUGUUGUAACAAAUGACCACAAACUUGGUGGUUUAAAACCACAGACAUAUGUUCUGGGACCAGAAAUAUGAAAUCAAGGUGUCUUCAGAGUCGGUUCCUCCUGGAGGCUCCGAUAGUAACUCCAUUCCAUGCCUUUCUCUUUUCUCUGGUGGCUGCUAGCCAUCCUUAGUGUUCCUUGGCUUGUAAUAGCAUAAAUCCAGUCUCUAUCUUCACAUGGUCUUCUCCCUAAUGUCAGUGUGUAUAUUCUCCUUUUCAGUUUCUUAUAAGUACACCAUUGGAUAGCAUGUCAUUGGGUUUAGGGCCAACCCUAAUCAAGGAUGAUCUCAAUUGAUGUCCUUACUUUCAUGACAUCUGCAAAGACGUUUUCAAGUGAGGUCACUUUCACAGGUACUAGGGCCUAUCUUUUGGGGAGACACCAUUCUAUAGUCAAUAGGAGACUGUGAUUGUCUGAAAACAAAAACUGAUGGGGUCUUAAGCAUGAGAGAACUGGUGGGACUGCCCUACAUAUAUUUAGCAUAUGGUCCUGUGCCUCAGGCACAUCUCCCACAAGAUGGAAUCAUCAGAGGAAUUGGCCUCCUCACCAGCUGGGCUCUAUUUUGUGCUUCAAGAGAAGCCAUUCAUACCAUCCCUGCUCUCGAGUGUGUGCACAGGAAAUUGUGUGUCACCUGAAACAUGUAAAAGUAGGUCAGGAUAAGGCAUGGCUGGAAUUUAUGUCUGAGUCUACCAUUUAUCUAUGCCUCAAGCAUAUAAAAGCAUGCUGUGUUCCUGGCACAGGACAGUUUAUUCCAGGAAGUAACCAAUAGGGAAACAGCCAAGGUCUCUGGAGCAAAACACAAGAGUUGGCCUGAAGUCACUGCUUUGACCAAAGAGGGAUGGGCCUCGUAGGACCUGGGGGGCCCGGCUUGAAAAAGGAUGUUAGCAUCCCCUCCCUUCUGCUGACUUACCUCCUUUUGUAGCGACCUGGCGCCACCUCACCAACUCGUGGCUCUGGAGACCAGAAAUCUGCAAUCAAGGAUUUCUUGCAGAGGAGAUAACAUUGACAGGCUCUUCAGUGGAGAACCCUGACAGAUGCCACCUUAACCCAGUAGUCAAAGCUAACAGCCCAAGUACAGCGAUAACACCUGCUGCCCCCGACAUGUUAUGAUGCAUUGAGAAGAACACAGCAACAUUUGUGUGAUGUUUCUACCCAAAAUAUAUUAUUGCAUCUUCUGAAGAAGCAACAACACAGAUUGAGUGGCAUCCUACAAAAUAACUGGUCGCCACUCUUUUAAAAAGUCAAUAUUAUGUGGGCCGGGGAUUUAGCUCAGCGGUUCGGUGGCCUGCCUCA